CCACAUGACGAACUGGUCCUCUCCAUGCUUUUGUCUCCACGGUUGGCUACUCCUGCACAUUGAAACUACAGAGAAGAACGAAACAGAGAACACAUGCCUACCUGAGUUUGAGCCACCCGGUCCUGACCAUUCUAACGCACUACUGGUACUGGUCCCCAAUUCACCUGAGCACGGGAAGACUGCGCAACUACCGUCCACUCGGCUGCUUUCUGGAUGAGCUGGACACUCUACUGAGCUCCAGAUCCUCUGAUGACCUGACCGCAUAUCACACCUUGUUGGCAACUUUCAUAUCUGCCCUAACAUUGGCUAUGACCUAAUUUUUCCAGCCGAAGAUCAGUGCAUGCCUCUCUAACCCACAUAAACUGUUCUCCACCUUCUCUUCCCUCCUCAUUCCCCCUCCACCCCCAUCUCCCUCUUCUCUUUUCACAGAUGACUUUCUGGCUGCCUUCGAAGGAAAGGUGGCUAACAUCCGGAACUUCUUUGCCCAUACAGUGAGCCCCCCUACUCCCCGGGACAAACCCACGUCAAGACUGACCUCCUUCAAGAGGCUGGAGGACUCUGAUGUACUCCAAGUCAUCACUUCUCAUUGCGCAACCACCUGUUCACUUGACCACAUCCCAUCUACAGUCCUCCAGUCCAUAUCCGGCGAGAUCCUUCCCUAUCUGUCCUCUAUUGUUAAUACCUCCCUUGCCUCUGGCUAAGUUCCUUCUGAUUUUAAGAUGGCUUGCAUUAUCCCACUCCUUAAGAAACCCACCUCAGACCCCUCUGAUAUAAUGAUCUAUCAAACCGUAUAUGUAAUGUUAUAUUAAUAGGUAAAUAAUAGUCUCACAAUCAGGUGUCUGUUAAGUGCAGCUUUACUCAAGUAUGAUCAAGUUACAACAACUUCACAACAGCUGUCAACCAUCAGUCAAUCCAACCUGUCUUUACGACAGCUACUGUUAUCAGUACAGUAUGCCUCUACCUUUUUUGUCCAAAACCCUUGAGCAAGCUGUGCUUAAACAACUAACUUCUUUUCUCCAUCAGAAAAAAAAACUGCUAGACCCUCACCAGUCUGGCUUCCGAUCCGGGCACUCGCCACUGCAAGAGCCUCUCCUCUGUCCUGAUCCAGACCUGUCUGCAGCCUUCAACAGGGUUAACCAAAAACUACGCCUCUCCACCUUGGCUGAGGUUAAUGAUAAAAUAUAUUCCUGCCAGGCUGACAUCUCAACCUGAAUGGCCAGCCACCACCUGAAGCUCAACUUCAACAAAACUGAGUUCUUCCCAUACAAGACCUCCCUACUAUGUGAGCUCUCAAUCACAGUUGAUGGCACCACAGUGACUGCCUCUCACUCUGCAAAGAGCCUGGGGGUGGUCCUGGAUGACCACCUGGACCUCAAGGAGCACAUCAAGGCAACAUCACGGUCCUACAGAUUCCUCCUGUACAACAUCAGGAGGAUUCGACCAUACCUGACUACGCACUCCCCCCAGCUGCUUGUCCAGGCUAUGGUGACCUCCCGUCUAGAUUACUGCAACUCUCACCUUGCAAGCCUGCCAGCUUGUGCCAUACAGCCACUACAGAUGAUUCAAAAUGACGCUGCCCGAAUCAUCUUCAACCUUCCCAAGUUCUCCCACGUCACUCCUCUGCUUAGGUGACUCCACUGGUUACCGGUUGCUGCCAGGAUCAGGUUCAAAGUCCUGACCCACGCCUACACUGCAGCCAUCAGGACGGCCCCCGUCUACUUACAGGACAUGAUUCAAUUCUAUACGCCUACUCAACCACUCCACUCUACAGCAGGGCGCAUUGCACCCCCUCCCAUUCGGGUAAAGGGUUCUCACUCAUCCCUAUCACAGAGCUUAUAAUAAUGUUCACUGCAUGAACUGGACUGUGUUCUUGGCUAUGAAUAACAGUAUGAAAUGAGUAUUGUACCUUAUCGAACCUGUGUUUUGUAGUUGUUCCAAUGACUUUGAUAUGCACUUUUGUACCUCACUUUGGAUAAAAGUGCCUGCUAAAUAAAUGUUUUAUAUAUAUAUAUAUAUAUAUAUAUAUAUAUAUAUAUAUAUAUAUAGCAACGUUUAAUCGGAAAACCCUGUCUUGUUGGAUUGUUGAGUAUUAGGCUACAGUUCACAUUUUAAGACUUAAAUUGCAGCCUAUCCCUCAUCAUGUUAAACAUCUGUCUGCUUCAUGUUCCUGAAACCUCUGUAAUAUUAUUUUUCAUUACAUGUUGAUUCCAACAAUUGUAUGUUUACUUCAGGUAGGCAAUUUUUCCUCCAGUUAGCCUUCUUUGUCUUGAAAUUUGAAUCUCAGACCAUCUUUGGUCUUUGGUGCAAGUGCCUCCACCGCCUGCCCCUUCCUGCAGACAUACCAUCACUUUGAAGUGCCUGAAAUGUGUAAAUCUGACUGUUUUCAUGGGUGUGAAUAAAACUCCAUU